CCUACGGGAGGCAGCAGUGAGGAAUAUUGGUCAAUGGCCGCAGGGCUGAACCAGCCAAGUCGCGUGAGGGAUGACGGUCCUAUGGAUUGUAAACCUCUUUUGUCAGGGAGCAAAGGGCGCCACGUGUGGCGCUUUGCGAGUUACUGAAGAAAAAGCAUCGGCUAACUCCGUGCCAGCAGCCGCGGUAAUACGGAGGAUGCGAGCGUUAUCCGGAUUUAUUGGGUUUAAAGGGUGCGCAGGCGGAAUGUCAAGUCAGCGGUAAAAUUUCGGGGCUCAACCCCGUCGUGCCGUUGAAACUGGCGUUCUUGAGUGAGCGAGAAGUAUGCGGAAUGCGUGGUGUAGCGGUGAAAUGCAUAGAUAUCACGCAGAACUCCGAUUGCGAAGGCAGCAUACCGGCGCUCAACUGACGCUCAUGCACGAAAGCGUGGGUAUCGAACAGGAUUAGAUACCCCUGUAGUC
rnacentral:rRNA from 1 species